rnacentral:rRNA from 1 species
UUAAGUUAUUAAGGGCGCACGGUGGAUGCCUUGGCACUAGAAGCCGAUGAAGGACGUUACUAACGACGAUAUGCUUUGGGGAGCUGUAAGUAAGCUUUGAUCCAGAGAUUUCCGAAUGGGGAAACCCAGCAUGAGUUAUGUCAUGUUAUCGAUAUGUGAAUACAUAGCAUAUCAGAAGGCACACCCGGAGAACUGAAACAUCUUAGUACCCGGAGGAAGAGAAAGAAAAUUCGAUUCCCUUAGUAGCGGCGAGCGAAACGGGAAGAGCCCAAACCAAAAAGCUUGCUUGUUGGGGUUGUAGGACACUCUAUACGGAGUUACAAAGGACGACAUUAGACGAAUCAUCUGGAAAGAUGAAUCAAAGAAGGUAAUAAUCCUGUAGUCGAAAAUGUUGUCUCUCUUGAGUGGAUCCUGAGUACGACGGAGCACGUGAAAUUCCGUCGGAAUCUGGGAGGACCAUCUCCUAAGGCUAAAUACUCUCUAGUGACCGAUAGUGAACCAGUACCGUGAGGGAAAGGUGAAAAGCACCCCGGAAGGAGAGUGAAAUAGAACCUGAAACCGUGUGCUUACAAGUAGUCAGAGCCCGUUAAUGGGUGAUGGCGUGCCUUUUGUAGAAUGAACCGGCGAGUUACGAUUUGAUGCAAGGUUAAGCAGUAAAUGUGGAGCCGUAGCGAAAGCGAGUCUGAAUAGGGCGUUUAGUAUUUGGUCGUAGACCCGAAACCAGGUGAUCUACCCUUGGUCAGGUUGAAGUUCAGGUAACACUGAAUGGAGGACCGAACCGACUUACGUUGAAAAGUGAGCGGAUGAACUGAGGGUAGCGGAGAAAUUCCAAUCGAACCUGGAGAUAGCUGGUUCUCUCCGAAAUAGCUUUAGGGCUAGCCUCAAGUGAUGAUUAUUGGAGGUAGAGCACUGUUUGGACGAGGGGCCCCUCUCGGGUUACCGAAUUCAGACAAACUCCGAAUGCCAAUUAAUUUAACUUGGGAGUCAGAACAUGGGUGAUAAGGUCCGUGUUCGAAAGGGAAACAGCCCAGACCACCAGCUAAGGUCCCAAAAUAUAUGUUAAGUGGAAAAGGAUGUGGCGUUGCCCAGACAACUAGGAUGUUGGCUUAGAAGCAGCCAUCAUUUAAAGAGUGCGUAAUAGCUCACUAGUCGAGUGACACUGCGCCGAAAAUGUACCGGGGCUAAACAUAUUACCGAAGCUGUGGAUUGUCCUUUGGACAAUGGUAGGAGAGCGUUCUAAGGGCGUUGAAGCAUGAUCGUAAGGACAUGUGGAGCGCUUAGAAGUGAGAAUGCCGGUGUGAGUAGCGAAAGACGGGUGAGAAUCCCGUCCACCGAUUGACUAAGGUUUCCAGAGGAAGGCUCGUCCGCUCUGGGUUAGUCGGGUCCUAAGCUGAGGCCGACAGGCGUAGGCGAUGGAUAACAGGUUGAUAUUCCUGUACCACCUAUAAUCGUUUUAAUCGAUGGGGGGACGCAGUAGGAUAGGCGAAGCGUGCGAUUGGAUUGCACGUCUAAGCAGUAAGGCUGAGUAUUAGGCAAAUCCGGUACUCGUUAAGGCUGAGCUGUGAUGGGGAGAAGACAUUGAGUCUUCGAGUCGUUGAUUUCACACUGCCGAGAAAAGCCUCUAGAUAGAAAAUAGGUGCCCGUACCGCAAACCGACACAGGUAGUCAAGAUGAGAAUUCUAAGGUGAGCGAGCGAACUCUCGUUAAGGAACUCGGCAAAAUGACCCCGUAACUUCGGGAGAAGGGGUGCUCUUUAGGGUUAACGCCCAGAAGAGCCGCAGUGAAUAGGCCCAAGCGACUGUUUAUCAAAAACACAGGUCUCUGCUAAACCGUAAGGUGAUGUAUAGGGGCUGACGCCUGCCCGGUGCUGGAAGGUUAAGAGGAGUGGUUAGCUUCUGCGAAGCUACGAAUCGAAGCCCCAGUAAACGGCGGCCGUAACUAUAACGGUCCUAAGGUAGCGAAAUUCCUUGUCGGGUAAGUUCCGACCCGCACGAAAGGCGUAACGAUUUGGGCACUGUCUCAACGAGAGACUCGGUGAAAUCAUAGUACCUGUGAAGAUGCAGGUUACCCGCGACAGGACGGAAAGACCCCGUGGAGCUUUACUGUAGCCUGAUAUUGAAAUUCGGCACAGCUUGUACAGGAUAGGUAGGAGCCUUUGAAACGUGAGCGCUAGCUUACGUGGAGGCGCUGGUGGGAUACUACCCUAGCUGUGUUGGCUUUCUAACCCGCACCACUUAUCGUGGUGGGAGACAGUGUCAGGCGGGCAGUUUGACUGGGGCGGUCGCCUCCUAAAAGGUAACGGAGGCGCUCAAAGGUUCCCUCAGAAUGGUUGGAAAUCAUUCAUAGAGUGUAAAGGCAUAAGGGAGCUUGACUGCGAGACCUACAAGUCGAGCAGGGUCGAAAGACGGACUUAGUGAUCCGGUGGUUCCGCAUGGAAGGGCCAUCGCUCAACGGAUAAAAGCUACCCCGGGGAUAACAGGCUUAUCUCCCCCAAGAGUUCACAUCGACGGGGAGGUUUGGCACCUCGAUGUCGGCUCAUCGCAUCCUGGGGCUGUAGUCGGUCCCAAGGGUUGGGCUGUUCGCCCAUUAAAGCGGUACGCGAGCUGGGUUCAGAACGUCGUGAGACAGUUCGGUCCCUAUCCGUCGUGGGCGUAGGAAAUUUGAGAGGAGCUGUCCUUAGUACGAGAGGACCGGGAUGGACACACCUCUGGUGUACCAGUUGUCGUGCCAACGGCAUAGCUGGGUAGCUAUGUGUGGACGG